AAGAAAUCAACCGAGAUUCCCCCAGUAGCGGCGAGCGAACGGGGAGCAGCCCAGAGCCUGAAUCAGUGUGUGUGUUAGUGGAAGCGUCUGGAAAGGCGCGCGAUACAGGGUGACAGCCCCGUACACAAAAAUGCACAUACUGUGAGCUCGAUGAGUAGGGCGGGACACGUGGUAUCCUGUCUGAAUAUGGGGGGACCAUCCUCCAAGGCUAAAUACUCCUGACUGACCGAUAGUGAACCAGUACCGUGAGGGAAAGGCGAAAAGAACCCCGGCGAGGGGAGUGAAAAAGAACCUGAAACCGUGUACGUACAAGCAGUGGGAGCACGCUUAGGCGUGUGACUGCGUACCUUUUGUAUAAUGGGUCAGCGACUUAUAUUCUGUAGCAAGGUUAACCGAAUAGGGGAGCCGAAGGGAAACCGAGUCUUAACUGGGCGUUAAGUUGCAGGGUAUAGACCCGAAACCCGGUGAUCUAGCCAUGGGCAGGUUGAAGGUUGGGUAACACUAACUGGAGGACCGAACCGACUAAUGUUGAAAAAUUAGCGGAUGACUUGUGGCUGGGGGUGAAAGGCCAAUCAAACCGGGAGAUAGCUGGUUCUCCCCGAAAGCUAUUUAGGUAGCGCCUCGUGAAUUCAUCUCCGGGGGUAGAGCACUGUUUCGGCAAGGGGGUCAUCCCGACUUACCAACCCGAUGCAAACUGCGAAUACCGGAGAAUGUUAUCACGGGAGACACACGGCGGGUGCUAACGUCCGUCGUGAAGAGGGAAACAACCCAGACCGCCAGCUAAGGUCCCAAAGUCAUGGUUAAGUGGGAAACGAUGUGGGAAGGCCCAGACAGCCAGGAUGUUGGCUUAGAAGCAGCCAUCAUUUAAAGAAAGCGUAAUAGCUCACUGGUCGAGUCGGCCUGCGCGGAAGAUGUAACGGGGCUAAACCAUGCACCGAAGCUGCGGCAGCGACGCUUAUGCGUUGUUGGGUAGGGGAGCGUUCUGUAAGCCUGCGAAGGUGUGCUGUGAGGCAUGCUGGAGGUAUCAGAAGUGCGAAUGCUGACAUAAGUAACGAUAAAGCGGGUGAAAAGCCCGCUCGCCGGAAGACCAAGGGUUCCUGUCCAACGUUAAUCGGGGCAGGGUGAGUCGACCCCUAAGGCGAGGCCGAAAGGCGUAGUCGAUGGGAAACAGGUUAAUAUUCCUGUACUUGGUGUUACUGCGAAGGGGGGACGGAGAAGGCUAUGUUGGCCGGGCGACGGUUGUCCCGGUUUAAGCGUGUAGGCUGGUUUUCCAGGCAAAUCCGGAAAAUCAAGGCUGAGGCGUGAUGACGAGGCACUACGGUGCUGAAGCAACAAAUGCCCUGCUUCCAGGAAAAGCCUCUAAGCAUCAGGUAACAUCAAAUCGUACCCCAAACCGACACAGGUGGUCAGGUAGAGAAUACCAAGGCGCUUGAGAGAACUCGGGUGAAGGAACUAGGCAAAAUGGUGCCGUAACUUCGGGAGAAGGCACGCUGAUAUGUAGGUGAAGUCCCUCGCGGAUGGAGCUGAAAUCAGUCGAAGAUACCAGCUGGCUGCAACUGUUUAUUAAAAACACAGCACUGUGCAAACACGAAAGUGGACGUAUACGGUGUGACGCCUGCCCGGUGCCGGAAGGUUAAUUGAUGGGGUUAGCGCAAGCGAAGCUCUUGAUCGAAGCCCCGGUAAACGGCGGCCGUAACUAUAACGGUCCUAAGGUAGCGAAAUUCCUUGUCGGGUAAGUUCCGACCUGCACGAAUGGCGUAAUGAUGGCCAGGCUGUCUCCACCCGAGACUCAGUGAAAUUGAACUCGCUGUGAAGAUGCAGUGUACCCGCGGCAAGACGGAAAGACCCCGUGAACCUUUACUAUAGCUUGACACUGAACAUUGAGCCUUGAUGUGUAGGAUAGGUGGGAGGCUUUGAAGUGUGGACGCCAGUCUGCAUGGAGCCGACCUUGAAAUACCACCCUUUAAUGUUUGAUGUUCUAACGUGGACCCGUAAUCCGGGUUGCGGACAGUGUCUGGUGGGUAGUUUGACUGGGGCGGUCUCCUCCUAAAGAGUAACGGAGGAGCACGAAGGUUGGCUAAUCCUGGUCGGACAUCAGGAGGUUAGUGCAAUGGCAUAAGCCAGCUUGACUGCGAGCGUGACGGCGCGAGCAGGUGCGAAAGCAGGUCAUAGUGAUCCGGUGGUUCUGAAUGGAAGGGCCAUCGCUCAACGGAUAAAAGGUACUCCGGGGAUAACAGGCUGAUACCGCCCAAGAGUUCAUAUCGACGGCGGUGUUUGGCACCUCGAUGUCGGCUCAUCACAUCCUGGGGCUGAAGUAGGUCCCAAGGGUAUGGCUGUUCGCCAUUUAAAGUGGUACGCGAGCUGGGUUUAGAACGUCGUGAGACAGUUCGGUCCCUAUCUGCCGUGGGCGCUGGAGAACUGAGGGGGGCUGCUCCUAGUACGAGAGGACCGGAGUGGACGCAUCACUGGUGUUCGGGUUGUCAUGCCAAUGGCACUGCCCGGUAGCUAAAUGCGGAAGAGAUAAGUGCUGAAAGCAUCUAAGCACGAAACUUGCCCCGAGAUGAGUUCU
rnacentral:rRNA from 1 species